GACGAACGCUGGCGGCGUGCUUAACACAUGCAAGUCGAACGGAAAGGCCCCUUUGGGGGUACUCGAGUGGCGAACGGGUGAGUAACACGUGAGUAACCUGCCCUUGACUUCGGGAUAACUUCAGGAAACUGGGGCUAAUACCGGAUAGGAAUCCUUGCUGCAUGGUGGGGGUUGGAAAGCUUCGGCGGUUUUGGAUGGACUCGCGGCUUAUCAGCUUGUUGGUGGGGUAGUGGCUUACCAAGGCUUUGACGGGUAGCCGGCCUGAGGGGGCGACCGGCCACCUUGGGGCUGAGAUACGGCCCAGACUCCUACGGGGGGCAGCAGUGGGGAAUAUUGCACAAUGGGCGGAAGCCUGAUGCAGCAACGCCGCGGGCGGGAUGACGGCCUUCGGGUUGUAAACCGCUUUCAGCAGGGGCGAAGCUUGUGGUGACGGUACCUGCAGAAGAAGCACCGGCUAACUACGUG
rnacentral:rRNA from 1 species